CGACGGUACAUACUUAAGUCCAAGAGAACUCGCAAUGCCCCAUGCGGCCCUGUACUGGUGCAUGGAGGACAUAAUUUUGACAUGGCGGGCACAUACAUUGCUAUAGAAGAGAGCCUGGACAGAAUGGAAGACACCAAAAGCGUCCAGAUAUUUAACUUUGUAUUACAUCUUAGAAAGAAAAAUCCUAGGAUGGUGGAAACGCUUCAAAGUUACCAACUUAUCUACCAAACCGUUAUCUUGCAUACUCUCUGUGAUGAAACUUCUCUG